rnacentral:lncRNA from 1 species
GCGGAAAAAUGGCCAAAAAACGGGUGGGCUAUAGCCUUGGUGGGGGGCGUGGGCGAAGUUCGUCCGCCGGACUCGGAAUGGCCCCAGACUUUGCGGGCGGCCUUCGUGUGCCAAAAAUAGGCGACGGGCACAGCCGCGCCCAAAAAUAAGCGCCCGAAGUUCGGGGUCCCAAGACCCCCCAGCGGAAAAAUGGCCAAAAAACGGGUGGGCUAUAGCCUUGGUGGGGGGCGUGGGCGAAGUUCGUCCGCGGGACUCGGAAUG